UGUUGAUGUCUCUCCUCGGACACCAUACACAAGUACUAGUAAUCCAAAAAUACAGCAUUGAGAUAUGUUACCCAAGUGCGACACCAGAAAUUAUAAUUGUCUCCCCACACGUCGCGUUUAAAAAAAAUGGAAGCUUGUUGCUCGUUUAACGCCGGAUUAACCAUAGGGAUUAACCAUGUGUCAGAUGCGGCAAAUGCCACGGGCCUCGCGCUUAUGGGGGCAUUGCGCUUUACUGUACCACGCCCAUUUUUACGAGAACACGGCCAUUUUCUAUUGGGACACACCCAUUUU